UACGGGGGGAGCAAGCGUUGUUCGGAUUUACUGGGCGUAAAGGGCGGGUAGGCGGCCACCGCAAGUCGACUGUGAAAUCUCCGGGCUUAACCCGGAAAGGUCAGCCGAUACUGCGGGGCUAGAGUGCAGAAGGGGCAACUGGAAUUCUCGGUGUAGCGGUGAAAUGCGUAGAUAUCGGGAAGAACACCCGUGGCGAAGGCGGUUCUCUGGGACGGUACUGACGCUGAGACGCGAAAGCGUGGGGAGCGAACAGG
rnacentral:rRNA from 1 species